rnacentral:tRNA from 1 species
GCUGGGUUGGCUCAGUUGGUAGAGCAUGUGACUCUUGAUCCUGGGGUUAUAGGUUCGAGCCCCAUGUUGGGCG